AUGGCGGUGUCGUCGAACUGUGUUCGGAAAUCUCUCCAAAUAGCUUCAUCUUCAGCCAAAACCCUAUUAUCUCGUCGUUCUACUUUACCUUCAUCUUCUUCAAACCCCAAUAAAUUCAACUCCUCCGCUUCUUCUUUUCAAGCUUCCCCUCUCAAACGCUCACUCUCCAACUCCUGGCUCCCGGUGCAAUUGGCUGGUGCACAAGUCUCAUUGACGCCAUUGCAUAGUGCCACUGCUUCUGCAUUGUUCACUUCUCUAUUGUCUUUGCACAAUAACAACUGGGGUUGUCUUUCAGAAGGUUUUGCAACAACUUUAUAA
rnacentral:lncRNA from 1 species